rnacentral:rRNA from 1 species
UACAGAGGGGGCAAGCGUUGUUCGGAAUUACUGGGCGUAAAGGGCGCGUAGGCGGCCUGCUAAGUCGAACGUGAAAUCCCUGGGCUCAACCCAGGAACUGCGUCCGAUACUGGUUGGCUUGAAUCCGGGAGAGGGAUGUGGAAUUCCAGGUGUAGCGGUGAAAUGCGUAGAUAUCUGGAGGAACACCGGUGGCGAAGGCGACAUCCUGGACCGGUAUUGACGCUGAGGCGCGAAAGCCAGGGAGCAAACGGG